GGGUCCCUGUCGCGACAGGGGGGGCUCACAGCGAUGCGGCGCCCACUCGUGGUCCCGCUCCUGUCGCGAUACAGGGGCACUGUCGCGACAGGAGCGUCCAUCUUCAUCUUCAUCCAGGGUCCUGCCAGGAUCGGAGCCCUUGCAGAGCGUGGACAGACGUUCUUGUCGCGAUAGACCAUCCCUGUCGUGACACGGGGCACCCCCAUCCUGGUACUGUGGGUCACCCGGUGUGGGGCUCUGGGACAAUGGGGGGGGUCCCUGUCACGACAUGUGGGGCCCUAUUACCAAAAGGGGUCCCUGUCACAACAUGGAAUCGCCCCCGCCCUCGUACCAUGGGUCCCCCAAAACCAUGUGAACACGUGGGGGGAUUCCUGUCGUGAUAAUGGGUCCUUAUCACAAUACGGGGGCUCCUAUCGCGAUAUGAGGUCCCUGUCGGGAUACAGGGGUCUCCCUUUCCUCUGGAUUUCCAGAUCCCCAAGUCAAGGAGGAGAAACGGGUGGGGUUCUCCACCACAACAUGGGGCUCCCUGUCGUGAUAUGGGGGGUCUGUGUCGGGACAGGACCCCAGGCCAGCAGCAGCGGCGCCGCGGGGAGUCGAACCCCGCCCCGGGGGGUCCCGGGGGUGCCACCACCGGCGCCUUUUGCUUUUUUUUCGGCCUUUUUGGGUCCAGAGGAGAAAAAGCAAAACCUGAGAAAACGGGGUAAAGUUUUCUCAGGAAAAGAAAAAACCUCCCGAAACGGGGAAAAAAAAAAAGCAAAAAAAACCUCCCCAAAACGGGUCCGGCCCCGCCCCAAGCGACUUGGGGCAAAAUGUGGGGAAUUUGGGGCCGGAGCGCACCCGAAAACGGGCGGUUUGGGGGGUUUGGGACCCACCACGCGUCCCUGGCGCAAUUUGGGCGGAGAAACGGGAAUUUUGGGUCCGAGUCACGGCCCAGGCGCAAAACAAGACUCAGAAACGGAUUUGGGGUCACGGGCGCAUCCUGGUCGCAAAACGGGGCCGGGAGGAGGAAAUGAGGGCGCAAAAUGGGCUCAGACCGGCGGAUUUGGGGUUAAUCCCGCGCCCCCGGAGCACAGCGAGGUCCGAAAGGAGGAUUUGGGGUUGGCCGCGCGCCCCCGGCACGGGAUCGGCUCCGAAACGGGGUUUGGGGUCCAUCGCGCGCCCCCCUCGCGGCUCGGGCCGAGAACGGGCGAUUUUGGGGCUCGGCGCAUCCCGGGGCCCCGCCGGUACUUACUCUGCUGGCUCACCUGUCUUAUUUUGGGGGGAAUUUCUAGUUUUUUAAGCCUUUUUGGUUUUUUUUUUUUUUUUUUUUUUUUCUUUUUUUUUCUAUAAUUUUCUAUUUUCUUUUUUCUCUUUUUUGUUUUGUUCUAUUUUCUGUCUUUCUCUCCUUUUUUCCUCUCUUCUCUCUGCUCCUCCCCUGCCCAACUGCCGCCAUUUUACCAAAAAGUCCUUUUUUCCCCCCAGAUGGGGCCACUGCGAAGAAAAACUUUCCUUUCCCUGCCGAUUCCAUCUUCACUCUUCAGUUUUCCUGCUCUUCCCUCAAAAUUGGCUCCUCUCAAUCCAUCCUGCGUCUGAAAAUGCCGCAUUUCACCCCAAACCGGCCGCCCCCGCCUGCGCUGCCCGGCCCGGCCCCACGUGGGGACUAAAUUCCAUUAUUUUAAGCUUUAAGAGCUUUUUCUUAUUAAAAAAAUAAUAAAUUUAGGAGCUUUUUUAGCA
ensembl:lncRNA